AUAAAAUAAUGGGCGGGCCACGUGCGGACUCACCGCUCUCACCUCCUGCUGCUGUGCGGCCCGGUUCCUAACAGGCCACGGACCGGUAUCGGUCCACAGCCCGGGGGUUGGGGACCCCUGCUCUAAAUGGAAUCUCCGCUGCCAUCUAUGGUAAGUACAGGAAUCCCCCGCUAUACGUAGGGAUGCCAGUGAAUAUUUGUUGUGGUGGUGGUAUUGGUUCAUUGGCCUCUUUCCUCAGCUCGUUCCAGCUAUAUCAGAUCCUCAUUUGUCAGGCCCUCACCUUGGGACUCCACCACGUCUGCCUCUCCUCCGCAUUGUCUAGUUCAGCUUCCCUCCUCCAUGUGGAGGGAAAUCCUCUCGUGGUAUGCGCUAUGCGUGUACAGUGCAUUAUUACAUCGCAAAAUUGUCUAUUUUGACCGCGUGCAUUCUUAGUUUUAAGAAUUGCAGACAAAAUAUGCAUAAAAACGCAUAUUCUAAAAAAUGUAUUUUAAAGGAAAUAUAUUCCCAAAUUCAUCAGAAACGUACAUGCAAACAAUGCAUAAUGCUGUAACUUAUUACGGUGGAUUCCUGUAAUCUAUAUUAACAAAUAUUUAAACUUCUUAAAUAUUUUUGGAAAUCUUUUGUUUUCUUUUUUUGGUACUUAUUUGUUUAUGCAAAUUUGUACCUAAAAUUGUGCCCCAAGAACGUAUUAAAUGUAUAUCAUUAAGUAAAUUGUUAAAUAAGUUAAUGUUUGUUUUUCCUCAUGUCGCGUUUUCCAGGAAAGCAUCCUCAAAGUAAAUAGAGAAUAUUGUAACAAUACAAUCGGUGUCGCUGCAGAGAAUACAACUUCAACUUGUAACUCGCUGCAUCGCCCUGACCAAGAAGUCACUGCUGCUGCUCACAAAUUGCCGCUGUCAGCUGGUUUGAGUCCUUCCUCCGGCCGAGUUGGGCCACAGCGUUCUGAGCUGGUUGCCGGGGCCAUAGCUUCACUUACAGCCUUUUCUCCUGCUGGCUAUUGUCUUAAACGGCAAAUUUGUUUUUAAUUUCGACAUGAUUACCUCGCCGCUGCCAUGAAUCAAUUUAUGUAUCCAUAAUAGUUUUUUUUUGGGUUAGAUCGCGUUCACAUGAAUGUCGUUAAACUCGCCACCACCCGACACAGCCAUUUAGUAAGGGUUACCACGUAAAACAUGGCAUUUAGUAACUAGUUCCGCACACCGGUGUGUUGGAGAGUAAACCCACAAUAUGUAUGUUCAACUUCUUUUGCACCGUACAUAACCAACUGUGCUAAUCGAAGGUGAGAAGUUCGAGUUUAUCAUACCCGCAAUCCACAAUAGGGAGUUGAAGCAAAUGGCCAUGAGUUGCUCGAUGCACGUCACUUAUCUACUUCAACAACUGUCGUGCCUGUUUACCAGGCUGUCAAAGGUUGUUUAAACUGCCACUAAAAAUAUCCACUUUAGUACCAUUUAAUAAAUGGUCAAUUAGAGUCGCGCGUUGCCGAAUGUCAGAGCCGUUUACUCUACCGCGUGCUCAGCGCUAUGCCAAUGGGAGGCUUCCAGCACUGGCCACCGGGCAAUGCUAUACAAACUGCGUCGUGACCUGCGCUAGCCAAUAGCAACCCUCCCGUGUCAUUUCCAUGGCAGGGUUGCCACGCUUCCGUGUUAGGGGUAACCUGAAUUAAAUAAGGAUAUAUUUUAGCAUCCUUACACAUGACAGUUCAACUCCUGCAUAAUAUCUGUCCCUCCACGUAAAAAAUAAAAGUACACAUCCCAUCCGCCACAUGGCCUUCUGGGAGGGCAUCAUUUUAUGACUAUCGAUUCAACAAUCUCUGGACUGGUUUUGACAUUCAGUGUCUCGACAGCAGAGCUAGGCUUGCAUGAACAAAUUGGGUAUUUUUGGAAACCUUGUGAUUAUUGGUUAUCGGAUGUUUUUUUAUUCUUUUUCUGGAGAACAUGAGCCAGUUAUAGGCACGUGUAUUGUUAAUUCACGUAUAGCAUUGUGAUUAACUUUUACGGGUGAGGACGGUGCCGGACACUUGGUACCUGUGAAAUUUGAGUUGAAGCUGGGACAAUAAAACUCUUGAGCAAGAAACUCUGUGCCUGGUCAUGUCGAGCGACGUGGAGGGCGCUAUGGCGGGCGAGCGUGAGACCCACAUUGAAGGUCAUCAGAACAAACGUUGGCCAAGGGGACACCUGGCCGCAGGAAUGCAGAAUGCAGGUAGGGAGGCCUAGGGUUUCACGUCCUGGGUGGGGACAGGGUCCGAAGGUCGCGGGGCCCGAAUUUGGGGGAGCAAAGUCCGGACCAGGGGUCGGCAACCUUUCAAAGAAGAGCUAUUUUUUUGUCUUUGUCCAAAAUCGUUCGAGAGCCGCAUCACAAGCAGAGCGACUUGUACACAUGCACACAGGGGCGCAACAACCUCUUUCAACGGGGGGGGGGGGGGGGGGGGGUGUGCAAGAUCUGACUGUGGGCUCCUCUCCUUUCUCCAGACUCGCUUUUACUGAUAUAGCUACGGAUGUUUCUAACCCGUAUAUUCAAUAAUAUGAAGGCUAUAACUAUAAAUAUUAUUUUAGGUGCACCGUGUAUUGGAGUUAGAGGAAAACAGUCUCACAGUGACGGUAUUAAUCAAAAAUAUUUAAAGGUACAAUACAAUUAAGUUAUGCGUCUCGCUUUCAUGCUGGCCUGUCGGUCUUGGAUUUCCUCAAAGGAGGUGGAUCGCCCAACUUGAUGCUGCUCUGUUGACCUGAAAGCCAGAUGCGUUCACCGGGCUUGGUCCAUCGUAGACCGCAGGUAAUUUUUCAUUUUAAAAAAUACAUUUUCGUAACAUGUACUUGUUUAACUUUUAUCUUCGGGUCCCCCUUGUGGCCGACUGGGUCCCUAUACAUCGCAUCCGCUGCAUACCUCAGUUGCGCCCCUGCAUACACAACAAACAUAGCAGAUGACAAAUUCUGAUUUAAACAAAAAUGUGAUGGAAUAAACUUGGUAUGUUUCCUGUUUGUGCCCCAGUGGCGUCACCAAGGGGGUGCGUGCCGCACCGGGUGGUGACACCAUCAGAGGGGGUGACACCAUCAGAGGGGGUGACACCAUCAGAGGUGGGGACACCAUCAGAGGGGGUGACACCAUCAGAGGGGGUGACACCAUCAGAGGGGGUGACAUCAUCAGAGGGGGUGACACCAUCAGAGGGGGUGACACCAUCAGAGGGGGUGACACCAUCAGAGGGGGUGACACCAUCAGAGGUGCUUGACGUCAUUUAUGGAUGGCCCCUAAGAACCAUUUUACCUCGGAUGCGCGGGCCGUCACGGAGAGACGAGGCUGCAUGAGGUUCUUGCUGGGAGCGGGGCCUGGCUUCGCUGAGACUCGUCACACGGACGACCCAGUGGCCGGCAAGCUGCUGCUCCGAUGGUUGACUUGAGGAGAACGCGAACUCCUCUAUCCCUACCUUCUCUCGCCUUUUAUUGUUCUCUAGAUCAAAGAUAAUUCGGCGCUGAUCCGCUGGCCUUCCCGGCCAAUCAGGUGGCUCGAUUUCCUGCCACUCUCCCCGGGCCGGUGCUCUCUCAGACGUCCGCAUUUUAUCCUCUACACAAGCACAUUUGUCCUACCAAUCAGAGGACCGGCCCUGUUUUCCCGCCGUGCGUGACUCCGCCCCCCUACCUGCAUGCUGACCCAUGUGUGUUGUGUGUGUUUUCUACCCGCGGUGGCUGAGCAGCCCCGUCGUGACCAUGUAAUUACAACUCAAGUCCCGGUGCCGUGGUGCGAGUUAGCCUCGGGGGAGAUCGCCCAAUUCCCUGGUCGUAGGAAACUGUAAAGAUUGGUCCCAUGAGAGGGUUUCUGGGUGAAAACCUGUCAGCCAGGUGACCUCCCCUCGGGGCUCUAUGUGGGGGUGUGUGUGUGUUUAUGUGGGGGGUGGUGAGGGAAGAGCAGCGUCGGCCCCGUCGCUCGGAGGUGGCGGCGUCGCGGCCACGGUGUCGGCAGGACGGCUUCGCUGCUGCAGCAUCACAGUUGUAGGCACGGCUCCGACAAAGCGGCUUCGCUGCUGUGGCACCACAGCUGCAUCCCAACCCCAACAGCUUCCGAAAUCCUAAUCGACGUGGGCCAUGAUCUCGCCGAACGCGAGGCAUCGUUCACCGAGGUGGAAGCCGCGAUACCUGCGAAGGCAGGAGAGGGACCACCUUUCUUAGAAGUUCAGGCGGUGACCACAUCUUCAGUCAGCAUUGCGAAGAUUGUUCCGAUGAACGGACCGGCGGCGGGAACUCGGUCCAAAUGUUGCUAAAUUCGAUUAAACCAUUUGUUGUGGGGUUAUGUGGGAAUUAAGGGGGUUGCAUUGCGUGAUUCACAGAAUGAAUUUAUUCUCUCUCUCCCUCUCUGUUCCUAUCGUUAUUCUCGUGCCUCCCUAAAUUGUUGCUUGAUAUCCCCCCUUUAUUGCAGUCCGCUCUGCCUUACUCAAAAACACAUUUUGUUAUAUUGUUCAUGUUCUAGGGGGUGCUUUUAAUCUCUCUUGUGUUUUCAGUAUUAUUGGUAGCCGGGACGGCAAUUUUUUCACCACGGGGGGGGGGGAGGGGGGGGUGAUGUAAUGACAGGGUGACACCUGCCGGCCUGUAGGGGUAAUUACGAUUAUAGCUGCAUUACAUAAUGCCUUAUUAUGAAAGGGCGUAUCUGGGGUAAAGGUUAAGGGCAGAGUCAGUCGAGAAGCUCCGGGAACCAACCCCAAGGUUCUGGAAAGGAGGCAUGGCCAGAGGUGGAGCUUGGCCGCGCCAGGCAGAUAUAAGGAGCACUGAACCUCUGGUUUGGGGCUGUUAGUGUGGGGUCUGGGUCCUGGUUGCGUCGCUGCCGACGUCAUCUCUUCGUCUUCAACCACGCGGCUGUUCUUCUGCAAGUCCAACUCCGUCGCCGCUGCUACGCUCGUCAACCAGCCAGCGUAGUGCAGAAACGGAGAUGGGCUGCGUGUUUGAACAGCCUAGGUGUAGCCGCGUUAUGAAGUGUAUUACCCUGUGUGCUCUUAAUAAAUAAGAAGCCUUCUACUAGGCGUGUGUCGGAAGUCGCUCACUACACAUGUAACGGAAACUAUGUUAGAAAUGUUCUUAAAGUUGAUGAUAUAGUAGAAUGCAAUGUUAAUGUUAUAAUAGAUUAUUAGGUCAUUAGAAAAACUGUUAAUGUUAACAACAACCAAACAACCACAAUCAUACAUAACAAAAGUGCGCCAACAAUUGCACAUGCAAAUAGAUCGCUCAAAUAAAGCUACAAUCGCACACAAUCACAAAGAAGAGACGCACACAACUGCUCAGGCACAACUACACACGCAGACAUCUCUCCUUGCAUGCAGUUGUGUCAGCAAGUAAUGUCGGUAUCAUUUUAGAUUGAAAACUAAUAUCUUAGAUUGAAAAUGUAUUUCUAUAGAACUGAUUUUUGUAUUUAGUUUGUUGUCCUUCUUCCACACCUCCGAUUAGCUGCGAAAGAAGUUCAACAUACUGUAUGUACACAUUCAUAAUUCGUACAUUCUUGUGGAAAUGUACGCAUUCCCUUGCAUAAAUACCGUGGGGAAUAAAUCGUAAAUUAGAAAAAUCGUGUCCUUCGAAAUUUUUGAAUUGCAUCAUUCAGUACUCGUGCACGAGGACUGAAUCCUUAGCCAUCCGGGAAAUGUACGCUACUACAACAAGAGGGACCUCGUGUGGUCACAUCUUAAGUGUUGGUGGGGAUGCAGAUGCAGCAACGGCUGCAGUACCUGGUGUUGUCGGAUGAUACUCUGUACCAGGUGAGAGUGCGCAUGUGUGGUGCCACAACAGCGAAGCCGCUCCGUCGGAGCCGUACCUGCGGAGGGGGUGCUGCAGCAAAGAAGCCACCCGGCUUCCG